rnacentral:misc_RNA from 1 species
CAACCCUCAAGCUCUGCUUGGUAUUGGAUGUCACUCUAUUGGUGCAUCUUAAAAUCAGUGGCGGUGCCAUCUGGCUUCAAGCGUAGUAACAUUUCUCGCUUUGGAAGUUUAGGUGUGUGUGCUUGCCAACAACCCUCUAAAUUUAUCAAA